CUAAGAACAAGGCAGUUAACACACUGUUCCCCUAAGAACAAGGCAGUUAACACACUGUUCCCCUAAGAACAAGGCAGUUAACACACUGUUCCCCUGAACAAGGCAGUUAACCCACUGUUCCCCUGAACAAGGCAGUUAACACACUGUUCCCCUGAACAAGGCAGUUAACCCACUGUUCCCCUGAACAAGGCAGUUAACACACUGUUCCUAGACCUUCAUUGAAAAUUAGAAUUUGUUCUCAACUGACUUGCCUAGUUAAAUAAAGGUUAAAUUAUAAAAAUGGUGAAAUAAAUAUCAGAAUUGGGCUGCCUCAAACACGCACACUCACUCUGCCCAGAGUUUGUGAAAAUGUAAUUUUCUUUAUGUUACUAAAUACAUUUUACCAGGGCAAAUGGGAGUAUUCAUGAUCUGUACCAUUGUGGGGUAUUUCUCCAACAUUAGGUCAUCUGAUGACCUAUAAUACAUCUGACAAACACCAAGCUCUGUUGAUGUCCUGACCUCUGGUAAUAAACACCAAGCUCUGUUGAUGUCCUGACCUCUGGUAAUAAACACCAAGCUCUGUUGAUGUCUUGACCUCUGGUAAUAAACACCAAGCUCUGUUGAUGUCUUGACCUCUGGUAAUAAACACCAAGCUCUGUUGAUGUCCUGACCUCUGGUAAUAAACACCAAGCUCUGUUGAUGUCUUGACCUCUGGUAAUAAACACCAAGCUCUGUUGAUGUCCUGUCUUCAUGCUCCACCAACCAAGCCUUGUCUUCAUGCUCCACCAACCAGGCCCUGUCCCUAUGCUGCACUAACCAGGCCUUGUCUUCAUGCUCCACCAACCAGGCCUUGUCUUCAUGCUCCACCAACCAGGCCUUGUCUUCA
ensembl:lncRNA